rnacentral:snoRNA from 1 species
UUCCUCCAGGUUCCUUACGGCUCAUCGGAUUUAAAUAGUGGUCUGAGUGCCUAAAACGGGAGGAAAAGCAAAACUGAUGUGGACUUUGGAUUUCUUUAGUGACAUACAAGUUCAUUUCAAACAUAU